GCCGAAGUGGCGGAAUUGGCAGACGCGCCAGAUUCAGGUUCUGGUGGGUGCAAGCCCUUGGAGGUUCGAGUCCUCUCUUCGGCA
rnacentral:tRNA from 2 species